UACUCCAUAACACCCAUCGGCUCCCUCUUCUCUUUUCCAAAUGAAUUUUCCCAAAUUGAAUACCAAUCCCUAACUUCUCCAUUUUACCCCUUUCUUCUCGGCAAAUUUCGCCGUUGCGCCGACCGUCGCCGGCGUCAUCGCUUCCGGCAAUUCAGCACCGACGCAAGCAUCUCCGGCUGAGGCAAUGCCGUCGGUCUGCCGUCGCUGCUGGUUCGAGACCUAGAAGUCGGAGCUCCGCCGUCAGUUUAGAGCCGCCAUCAUCGGCUCCUACAACGAUGACGCCCCGUCUGUCGGGUUUGAGUUUGAGAGCCUCUUUCUCGUCCUCUGCUCCUGCUGAUGCCUUGCACGAGUAGCUACUGCUUCACCGCUGUCAAGUGCCGUUACUGCCCCGAUGAGUCCGUGUGGCUACCUUCAUGGCCUCACCGUCACCGGUAGUCAUUGGGCAGCCCUUCCGGCCCUAAAGCUAAGUUCUUUUUGCCUUAACACACUUAGUUUGAUUGAUUGUGAAUUUUGGGCAGUAGCUAUGUGGUGCUAAAGCUUUGUUCUUCGUUGGUAGUCAUGAUAAUUUAUUACUGAUCUUGGGCUAAAAGAAAUCAUAUGAUAUUUCUUGUUCCAAGUUGUGUGAAUUGGAGAUCCUAAAGCUUUUAAGUUCUUUGAGCAUGAGGUUCUAAUGAGAUGCAAGAGGGGAGUAUUUUGAUUACCUGUUGUGGAGCUAUGAAAAGUGUGGAUGAACUCCCCCUUUGCUGCUUAGUUCUCGGUCCUCACAGAACAGAAAUAUGCUGAAUUUCAGAUGUGGUGUAAGGGAAGAUUGAGGGUGGUAAGGAUGGGUCUUUAUAGGUGAUUUGGUAACUGCAAAAUCUGCAACUCUUGAUCCUCUUGCAGGGACAUUUUUGUUGGUUGUGAGAGUGUACUCGUAUAUUCAGAUCUGGGCUGCCUUAUUCUUGUUUUAUCUUGCUGCCAUUUUAACUGCAUUUGGUUGUAUGUGGAGCUUGGUGCUUUAGCUAUUAAAUGGCUUGGUUGCUGUGGCAGGUACUCAAGAAAGGGGCAGAGAUUGUUACUGCAGCUCUGCAGUUUGUUGCAGCUGGAAGGCAGACAUUGCAGGCUCAUUUGCCCCAUUGCAGCUUGCGGUUAAGGCUGGGAAAGGGCAGGGAUGGAAUAAGGACCCAUCAUGUCCGGCUGCCACCUUGAUGUUCUGAUCUCAACGGGCUGUCGAAGCCGGGCCUAAAUUCGGGCCUAAGGAAGAGGCCGAGACUUAGCAUUUCUACUUGUAAUAGAAUAGAGUCUUCUCUCUUGUUCAUUUCCAAGCUUUUUCUCCUUUCAAACAAAAUGUAUAGAAUUACUUCUAAAAUUUAGUGCGUAGCAUUCUUCUUCUAUUUUCAUCAUCAAGCAUCUUGUAAACUUAUACUUAGCUUGGAAAUUCAAAAUACUAUGUGUUGAUUACUCAUGAACAUAAAUAAAUACUCUUUCAUCUUUCUUUCUUUAAA